AAACGCCAGAACGCGUCCUAAAUUCUAAUGUCAUUUAAUGUACAUAUUAUAUACUUCUUUGUUAUUAUAUGCGUAUACGUAUUAUUAUCAUUGUAAUAUAAGUAUGAUGCAAGCAUGCAUAGGUUUACGAAACCUUGUUGAAGGAUACUGUUUCGGUUAAUUUUGUCAAUUAUUGUGUCAAAAUGAAGUUGCUAUUAUUUCACUAUAAUUGUCAAUUGUUUUGGAGCUCGCUCACAAGUGACUCCAUUACGACAUGCAAGUUGUUUAGUCAAUUCAACAAUUGCGCGGCCUCUAGUUGCUCAGUUAAUAGUUGUCGUUUAAUUGCUUUUUACUCAUUAAAAUGCUCAAUGUUUGUGGUCAUGAUAUUAGUUAAUUUCCGUUGGAUUUUUAUUUAUUAGUAUUUAUUUUCACUGUCAUUGUAAAUUUCGACACUUUGCCCAUAUCACGUUUUAUUUAAUAAUGACAUCGCUUGCCCUUCUCAAAUUUAAAAUUCAGUAUCGAAAUUAUGAAAUAUCAUCACAAUGGUAAUAAAAUGGUAAUAGGAAACUCAAUCAAAUCGAUAGGAACAAACGUUAAAAAUGUUAUUGUUACCACUAGUUUAAGCACUCUGAAUUGUUUUAUUAUAAUUAUUUGUUUCACAAUGAGAUACUGAUUGCUUGUGUUAGUAAUUUCAGGGAAAUUGUUAUUUAUUGAAGUGGAUAUUGUGUAAGAUGCAUUCCAUAUGUCAGAACCGUUGAUUAAGCACUGUUCAUUGACGCACGUGAUUCAUGACUAGUGUAUGAGAAACAUGAAGUAUAUUUUUACAAAGAUUUAAUAUCCUCUCGUAGACGAAGCUGGUCUGCCCUCUGCUUGACGGGAACACGAGACCAGUGCCGCCAUGUUGGCCCGUCCGCGUCUCCUGUUGCUGUCAAUCUAACAUCGACUUCUUUGAAAGAACAAUAUUUUGUAUGAGAUAAAUAUGAUAAUCCCUAAUGUUGAAAUUCGAUACAUUGUCACAAAGGGAGGAAAAUGUCAAAUGUUGCUCGAUUGUUACCGAUUAAGUAAUUAGGAAGUUAUGUAUUUUGUCAUAUUUCUUAUACAAAGGAAAAAUAUCUCAAUGAAAUAUCAUAGUCCAAUGUAUAUAUUUAGAGUCUAGUAUCACAUCUUUUUAAACUGAGUUAGAACUAAUUCCAGAUAUGUAUUGUUCUUUGCGGCAUGACAAACGCGCCACGUCGCUUGUGAUGGUGCGUUCACGAGCUCGGCGAGAUGAAUGUAUGUAGCUUCCGUCGAGCGAGUGAACGCACCACAGUUGUUGUCCGCCAACACGCAACCGCGAGAUGUCGGGCCGGUCACGUUGACCCCAUUAUUAACCAAGCAAUGAAUCGGGCCUAUUUUAUGAUACAGAAUAUUGUUAUCGGGUGGCUAAUUUGUCAUGUGCAAACUUAACGCGUUAUAUUAGCUGAUAUCGUAGCGGCUAAGGCGGGCGUUACAUAAAGAUCCUUACCUUACUUUUAUUUUUAGAUAUAGUUGAGUUUGCGUAUUCUGAUCAAAUGUUAUUGUAAAUUUGGUGUACAGUAGAGUGGAACGGGCCGUCACUGCGCCUCGCCACAUGUAUAUAGACCGCCGCGGCGGGCGGAGUGAGCGGCCGCGGAACGAUGCUGCGAUAUUCCUUGUGCCCCUUGAAAUAUCACUGCAUAAUACGAGUCAAGAUGUAUAGACGAUGCGGUAGUGUUAUUGUGUAUAGAUGUGUUUAUACAAGCUCGAGUCGAGACUUGCCAGCCGGUUCGAGCGAACGACGACUUGCUAUGAAUCCUGACAUCGGCUCACGUUAAUUAGCUUUUAAAUAUUUCAUCAAAAUAUAAAAUACACAAAAAAAAAUGGAUAUAAAUUUCUCGACCAAGUACUGGUUGUUUUUAAAUUAUUAAAAUGUAAAAAAAAAUUAGUGUAUAAACAAGUGUACAAUUUAUGAGUUAUACUUUUCUUUUCGGCAUUUCAUGUAACAGUGGAAGGGACCCGGCUUCCGACUGCGGUCGAGGGCUGCAGCGCUGUUGCGAUCCUACACUGUCGAAAGUUAUAUGAUUAUGUUUGCAAUUACUUUUGCUCAUAUCCCCUCUUCCAUUGCUUUAUUUUUGUUUUGUCAACUGACUAAGUGUAAUAUAUAUAAUUUUGUUAAGGCAGGGUAUAGAAGAGGUACUUUUAUAAUUUGAAAUGCUUGAUGAUUUGUUUGAAUGUUUAAAAUUGAGUUGAUUUUAUCCAUUAUGAAGGAAGUCCUGAGUAGUUGUUUUUUUUUUAAUUUGGAGUUCGAAUGAGGCAGCGGAUUAGCUUAUAAUUGUCAAGUUACCACAGAUACAAUAGUCAAGAGGUAGGCUCUCUUUGGCGUUGCCUUAACUGUUUGAAGCCGUUGGUUUGGGUCGCGAGCGACCCGCAGCGGGUAGUCAGUAUUACACCACGCAAAUCCCUUGAGCUGAAGAGAGGUUGUGAAAAGUAUCGUUAUAAAAGGUACCUAUUCAAAAUCUGGACAAACAGACUAACUCUUAAAAGCAAUGUUCAUUAAUUUCGAUUAUGGGAUCAGUGCCAAACUUUCUCUUUUCUUGUUUAGCUCAAAAUGUUGCUGUUUGGUUAGUCUGCCAUUUUGUGAAUAUUUUGUUUUGAUAGUAAUAUGUAAAUCUUUUAUAAUAUAUUUGUUUACAAUAAAUAAAUGACAACAUUAUAAAUAAAUAAAAUUGUAUUUUCCAUUUAAACUGAUGAAAAAAAUAUAAAAAGAAUAAUAUGCAAUGAAA